rnacentral:rRNA from 1 species
CACGUAGGGGACGAGCGUUGUCCGGAUUCAUUGGGCGUAAAGCGCGCGUAGGCGGCUCGGAAAGUCGGUCGUGAAAUGCCGGGGCUCAACCCCGGGACUGCGUCCGAUACUCCCGAGCUGGAGGCAGGUAGGGGAGAUCGGAAUUCCUGGUGUAGCGGUGAAAUGCGCAGAUAUCAGGAGGAACACCGAUGGCGAAGGCAGGUCUCUGGGCCAUAACUGACGCUGAGAAGCGAAAGCAUGGGGAGCGAACAGG